rnacentral:rRNA from 1 species
GGGGAAUUUUCCGCAAUGGGCGAAAGCCUGACGGAGCAAAAACGAAUGAGGGAGGAAGGCUUUUGGGUUGUAAACCUCUUUUCUUAAGGAAGAAGAUCUGACGGUACUUAAGGAAUCAGCAUCGGCUAACUCCGUGCCAGCAGCCGCGGUAAUACGGAGGAUGCAAGCGUUAUCCGGAAUUAUUGGGCGUAAAGCGUCCGCAGGUGGCCUUUCAAGUCUGCUGUCAAAGACCAGAGCUCAACUCUGGGCCGGCGGUGGAAACUGGGAGGCUAGAGUACGGUAGGGGUAGAGGGAAUUCCCAGUGUAGCGGUGAAAUGCGUAGAGAUUGGGAAGAGCACCAGUGGCGAAGGCGCUCUUCUGACCGAAACUGACACUCAGGGACGAAAGCUAGGGCGCUCCUGAUUAGAUACCCCUGUAGUC